UACAGAGGUCCCAAGCGUUGUUCGGAUUCAUUGGGCGUAAAGGGUGCGUAGGCGGCGCGGUAAGUCGGGUGUGAAAUCUCGGGGCUUAACUCCGAAACUGCAUUCGAUACUGCCGUGCUUGAGGACUGGAGAGGAGACUGGAAUUUACGGUGUAGCGGUGAAAUGCGUAGAUAUCGUAAGGAAGACCAGUGGCGAAGGCGGGUCUCCUGGACAGUUCCUGACGCUGAGGCACGAAGGCCAGGGGAGCAAAACGGGG
rnacentral:rRNA from 1 species